AAUAGCAGGACAGGCUAUUGGACUGGAACAGAGGGAGAGGGAGAGGGUAGCAGGAGUAGUAGGGGAAAAGGUCAGAAGUGCAAUGGGGAGAAAAGAGAGCGGGUCGUGUAGGACCCUCUAGCUCAUGGAAAGGGCUUUGGAUGUUACUCUGCGUGAGAUCAGAAGCCAUCAGAAGAUCUUGAGCUAAGGAGUGGUAUGAUUUAGUUGACCUUUUAAUAAGAUUGUCCUCGUUGCUGUGUUUUGGACAAAUGACAUAGACAAAAAAUGAAAGCAUGGAGAUAAACUAAGAGGCUGCAUGCUUAUUCAAGCGAGAGAUGAUGGUUGCUUGACUAAGGUGGGAGCAGUAGAGCUGGUAAGAAGUGUUCAGGUUGUGGAUACAUUUUGAAGACUAAGUUAUCAGGAUUUGCUGAUGGCUUAUAAUAUAUGGGGUGUGCAAGAAAGAUAGUGUCAGUCUUAACUACUUUUGACCUGAGCAUCUAGAAGAAUAUGUGUGACUUUUACUGAGAUGCAGAGGAUUACAGGAGCAAAGGUUGGGGAAAAUAUCAGGAACUUAGCUUUGUAAAUGUUAGGGUUUGGGUGUUAAUUAGAUGUCCAAGUGGAGAUGUGAGUAAGUAAUUGAACAUAUCAGUCUGAUAUUCAUGAAGAAGCUUCCUCCUAAAGAUACUAAUCUGUGAAGCAUCACUAUUUAAGUGGUCUUCAGAGCCCUGAGGAUGGAUCAGGUCAACAAUGCAAUGAGUGUGGAUAGAAAAGAAAACAAGGCCAAAGACCGAGCCUGGGAGCACUCCUGUAUUUAGAGGUCAGAGAGAUGGGGCUGAACCAGCAAAGGAGACUGAAAAGGAAUGGCUAGGGUGGUAAGAGGAACAUUAUGUUCAUUCAACAGUGGUUCAGGAAAGGCACUUGCACUCUACUUACAGAAAAAGCAAUGGGCCAUUUCCUUAUUGUAGCACAGCCUCCACAGUCUACCAUAGGAAGAAAGACGAUGUCUGUCUGUGGGCUAAGUGAGUCCAUUGGAGUCCAUGAGGAUAUCAGUGGCAUCAUUUAUCAUGGCACAGGCAGAAUCAGAAUUUAUAAAGGAUAAAGAAAAAUGUGUGCUUAUUUUAUAAAAAUGUAUUUGCUGACUUCCUACAAUAGUGCUAUGGUUUGAAUGUGUCCUCUUCAAAAUUCAUGCUGAAACUUAAUCCCCACUGUGGUGGUAUUAAGAGAUGAGGCCAUUUGGGAGGUGAUUAAGUCAUGAGGCAUCUGCCCUCAUGAAUGGAUUAGUGCAUUAUAAAAAGGCUGGAGGGAACUAGUGUAGGACCUUCUUUGCUCUCCUGCUGUUCCUUCAUGUGAGGAUACAACAUUCUCCCACCUUUGCUCUUUUACCUUCCACCAGGCUAGGACACAGUGUUCAGGUGCCAUCUUGGAAGCAGAGACUGGACCCUCGCCAGACACAAAACCCACUGGCACCUUGAUCUUGGAUUUCCCAGCCUCUGGAACUGCAAAUGGUCUCAAUCAAGACAUUCCCCACUCUGGACUGAAGGGGCUGGUGGUGGACACCAUGUGAAUGACCCACCCUGAAAAUGACUUGAAAGUUACAAGGGCAGAGCUCCAGCUGACGGCAAAAAGGAGACAGGCCAACUGUAAGGUUUCCACUUUGUGACCCAGGUUUAAUCUUCUUACAGUGUGCACUGCACACACAUUCACACAUAUACAAAUACACAUGUGCACAUUCAAACACAAGCACACAAAUUCGCAUGUGCACAUACACACAUGCAAACAUAUAAACACAUAUGUACACAUGGAAACACACAAAAACACACACACACAAAUACACACCUAUGCAGACACAGGUACAUAUACAUACACAUACAUGCACACAUACACACACAAACAUACACACACAUAUACACAAACACACACAUGUACACACACAACACAGCAGUGCUUACUCAGAGGGAAUUACAGCAGAAGCAGCAGGAGGUGUUUACUUCUCACUUGAUACACAAAACCCAGGCAGAGAAAAACAUGUACUUAUUAUUAGCACAACUUAUAAAAUCUUGCUCGGGUGUGCAAAAUUAGUAAUACAAGGAAGUGGAACUAUUUUAUGGCCAGGGUUUUCUGACCACUAUGUCAAUUAAUUUAUAUAGACCCAUACAUCCUAUAUUAAGUGUAACUUUCAUUCCCUCUUUCCCGUGGUGAAUGACCCAAAACUUUUAGAAAACUCUUCAGACAAGCAAUAAAAUAAAUUCAUCGUUGUGCAUGUUGGGUUUGAGGUGAUGGUGGAACAUCCUAGGUUUGAAAUGAUUUCUAAGGAGCAGGUUGGAGUGGAGCUUGGGUGAGAAUCAGGGCUGGAAAUAUGAAUGUGGAAAUGAGCAGCAUAGAAGGACAUUUUUAUUAGGAAUUGGAAGAGCUCACACAUAAUUCAGAAAAACAGCACCACCGGGAAUGUCAGCUAAUAUUAUUAGGUAAAAUCACUCAAAGAAUGCCAGCAUUUAAUGAAGACCCCCUGAAUGUACUUUUAUUAAAUUGCAAGUGAUAUGCUCAAAGGGUACUGAAUUUGUUGAUGCAAGUUUACUUUUUUUAGUCACAUGAAAUUAGGUUCUCCCUCAUUUGUGAACCACUCCCUUAGAGAAGGGCUAUGUUGAGAUGACCCCAAACUACCAAGUUGUAAUUAAUUUGGGGCUUGCAACAGGCCCAGCAAGUGAUAUAAAUUGCUCUAGAAUUGAAUUAUGAGUAGAAAUCAAGCAUAGGCAAGUGAGGAGAGACGAAUAUGGAGACAGGAGGAAGAGAAACUUAUUAUUAUGCUGUGGCCAAUUUCAUUAUGCUGUGAAGGUAAGACAUAAUUUGGAAUCAUUAAUAGUUAUAUGAAUCCCUUCUGAACUCUUGGGUUCUGAGGUUAGUUUUGCACUAGUAAAAUAGUUGCCAUAUAUGUCUGACUAUAAGGUGAGUUUAUCAUUUUUUCUUAAACAAUUAUCACUUAGAGAAGAGGGACUUUGAUAUUACAUGGUAUGGGCUUUAUUAUUAAUACUUAAUUUUGAAUAAUAAAGAUAUAUUUGGGAAAGACACAUUUGCCUGAAAAUACCUUAAACAAUGCUAAUUUUGAAAAUUUUUUAAGGUCAGCUGAUAAAAUUUUUUAAGACAAAAAUUUAGCAUAGUUUAAGUUUAAAUUAUUUUAAACACAAUUUAAAUUGUAACAUUUCACUUGUACCCCUGUGUAUAUGAUCAUGCAAUUUCAAAUGUUGAAUAUAAGGAAGGCUUAAAGUUUCAAAGAUUACUUUUAGGAGGAAUACAGUAAAUGAUAAUGUAGAGGUUGCAAAUAAAUACCUAUAAGACACACAAAACAAUUUUCUAAAAAAAUAUACACAAAUUGGCUUCUUGUGGCUUGAGAUGAGGUAUUCAUUGACGGCCUCCACACAAAUGGAAAAGAACCAUCUCUCGAUCAAUUUAGACUGUAAGAAAGACAUGGGCCCUGGACCCUGUUCGAAAAGUGAGUCAAGCAAUGGUGAAAGCAAUAAAGACAAGAUGCGAAUGAGGCAUUCGAAUAAAAUUGUUUCAAAUGCAAUGUUGCUAAAUUAAUAUAAACUUACUCUUUUAAGUCUGUAUGUGAAACUAAAUGAAUAAAUUAGAUAGUAGAAUUUG